UACGUAGGGAGCAAGCGUUGUUCGGAUUUACUGGGCGUAAAGGGCGCGUAGGCGGCAGAUUAAGUCAGCUGUGAAAUCUCCGAGCUUAACUCUGAACUGUCAGCUGAUACUGUUUUGCUAGAGUGCGGAAGGGGCAAUCGGAAUUCUUGGUGUAGCGGUGAAAUGCGUAGAUAUCUGGAAGAACACCAGUGGCGAAGGCGGUCAACUGGCCCAUAACUGACGCUCAGGCACGAAAGCGUGGGUAGCGAACAGG
rnacentral:rRNA from 1 species